rnacentral:lncRNA from 1 species
CCCCUCCCAAAAUUUUAAUCCUUGCUUCUCGCUCCCCUACGUCAAGCCAUAGGCUUUUGCAGAAAUAAAAACCCUAAUUCUUUAUCCUUCCACGAGAACCCUUCCUUUCCUCCCCCUCUCUAUCCUCCCACGGUAUUCUGUUGUUGAAGAUGUCGGCUCCGGCACUGGCACCUCCAGCUCCGAACGCCGGCGGUUCCCUCUGGCGGCUCAUCUGGAGAUGAUGAGAGCGGCGCACUCACACUUUAUUGGUGAUUGAAGUUGCAUUUGGUGCCACGGUAUGUUCAGAUGGCGUAUGGACAAAAGGGAUGUGGUAAGAAAUACGUUCAUCAUGCAAAAGAAGAGAAGUAUGAAAUAUAUCCUGAAAUCAAAGAAUUCCCUGAUGUUAAUCUCAAACAAAAAGAAGAUUUCAGUAAAUUAAUAUGAUGGGGUGAUUGCAAAAGUUUGGGUUUCAUCUCCUUAUUAUUUGAAGGCUGCGGGUCAAGAUUCUGAAAGCUAAGAAACUUGGGCGUGAAUUAUCGGCUCAUGAAGCGUGGAAGCAAUCACACUGCAAGAAAGGAAGUCGACCAUUGGAUAAAGAUCUAAGUUGUAGCAGUCACUACUUUUGGACGUUGAUUCGGAAGGGAACACUCAAGAAGAAAAUCUUGUAUGGGUUGAUGCUAAGGCAGAUGAGACUUGGGUUAAAUAUGAAGGGUUUCUUGUGGAGAAGUAUGGGAAAGAACGUAAUAAACAUCCAAAAUUUGACAGACUUGUGGUCACGAGCUAAGGGCAAGAAUAAAAGAAAAGUGCACGGGUUAUGUAAUGUUAGUGACCCUUGUGUACAUAGCAGAGAAGACCCUAAGAUUGAAAAGUUGAACUUAGUUAUCAAG